rnacentral:rRNA from 2 species
GGUCAAGUGAAGAAGCGCAUACGGUGGAUGCCUUGGCAGUCAGAGGCGAUGAAAGACGUGGUAGCCUGCGAUAAGCUUCGGGGAGUCGGCAAACAGACUUUGAUCCGGAGAUCUCUGAAUGGGGGAACCCACCUAGGAUAACCUAGGUAUCUUGUACUGAAUCCAUAGGUGCAAGAGGCGAACCAGGGGAACUGAAACAUCUAAGUACCCUGAGGAAAAGAAAUCAACCGAGAUUCCCUUAGUAGUGGCGAGCGAACGGGGAUUAGCCCUUAAGCUUCAUUGAUUUUAGCGGAACGCUCUGGAAAGUGCGGCCAUAGUGGGUGAUAGCCCCGUACGCGAAAGGAUCUUUGAAGUGAAAUCGAGUAGGACGGAGCACGAGAAACUUUGUCUGAACAUGGGGGGACCAUCCUCCAAGGCUAAAUACUACUGACUGACCGAUAGUGAACCAGUACCGUGAGGGAAAGGCGAAAAGAACCCCGGAGAGGGGAGUGAAAUAGAACCUGAAACCGUAUGCGUACAAGCAGUGGGAGCCUACUUGUUAGGUGACUGCGUACCUUUUGUAUAAUGGGUCAGCGACUUAUAUUCAGUGGCGAGCUUAACCGAAUAGGGUAGGCGUAGCGAAAGCGAGUCUUAAUAGGGCGUUUAGUCGCUGGGUAUAGACCCGAAACCGGGCGAUCUAUCCAUGAGCAGGUUGAAGGUUAGGUAACACUGACUGGAGGACCGAACCCACUCCCGUUGAAAAGGUAGGGGAUGACUUGUGGAUCGGAGUGAAAGGCUAAUCAAGCUCGGAGAUAGCUGGUUCUCCUCGAAAGCUAUUUAGGUAGCGCCUCAUGUAUCACUCUGGGGGGUAGAGCACUGUUUCGGCUAGGGGGUCAUCCCGACUUACCAAACCGAUGCAAACUCCGAAUACCCAGAAGUGCCGAGCAUGGGAGACACACGGCGGGUGCUAACGUCCGUCGUGAAAAGGGAAACAACCCAGACCGCCAGCUAAGGUCCCAAAGUUGUGGUUAAGUGGUAAACGAUGUGGGAAGGCUUAGACAGCUAGGAGGUUGGCUUAGAAGCAGCCAUCCUUUAAAGAAAGCGUAAUAGCUCACUAGUCGAGUCGGCCUGCGCGGAAGAUGUAACGGGGCUCAAACCACACACCGAAGCUGCGGGUGUCACGUAAGUGACGCGGUAGAGGAGCGUUCUGUAAGCCUGUGAAGGUGAGUUGAGAAGCUUGCUGGAGGUAUCAGAAGUGCGAAUGCUGACAUGAGUAACGACAAUGGGUGUGAAAAACACCCACGCCGAAAGACCAAGGGUUCCUGCGCAACGUUAAUCGACGCAGGGUUAGUCGGUUCCUAAGGCGAGGCUGAAAAGCGUAGUCGAUGGGAAACAGGUUAAUAUUCCUGUACUUCUGGUUACUGCGAUGGAGGGACGGAGAAGGCUAGGCCAGCUUGGCGUUGGUUGUCCAAGUUUAAGGUGGUAGGCUGAAAUCUUAGGUAAAUCCGGGGUUUCAAGGCCGAGAGCUGAUGACGAGUCGUCUUUUAGAUGACGAAGUGGUUGAUGCCAUGCUUCCAAGAAAAGCUUCUAAGCUUCAGGUAACCAGGAACCGUACCCCAAACCGACACAGGUGGUCGGGUAGAGAAUACCAAGGCGCUUGAGAGAACUCGGGUGAAGGAACUAGGCAAAAUGGCACCGUAACUUCGGGAGAAGGUGCGCCGGCUAGGGUGAAGGAUUUACUCCGUAAGCUCUGGCUGGUCGAAGAUACCAGGCCGCUGCGACUGUUUAUUAAAAACACAGCACUCUGCAAACACGAAAGUGGACGUAUAGGGUGUGACGCCUGCCCGGUGCCGGAAGGUUAAUUGAUGGGGUUAGCGCAAGCGAAGCUCUUGAUCGAAGCCCCGGUAAACGGCGGCCGUAACUAUAACGGUCCUAAGGUAGCGAAAUUCCUUGUCGGGUAAGUUCCGACCUGCACGAAUGGCGUAACGAUGGCGGCGCUGUCUCCACCCGAGACUCAGUGAAAUUGAAAUCGCUGUGAAGAUGCAGUGUAUCCGCGGCUAGACGGAAAGACCCCGUGAACCUUUACUGUAGCUUUGCACUGGACUUUGAGCCUGCUUGUGUAGGAUAGGUGGGAGGCUUUGAAGCGUGGACGCCAGUUCGCGUGGAGCCAUCCUUGAAAUACCACCCUGGCAUGCUUGAGGUUCUAACUCUGGUCCGUGAUCCGGAUCGAGGACAGUGUAUGGUGGGCAGUUUGACUGGGGCGGUCUCCUCCUAAAGAGUAACGGAGGAGUACGAAGGUGCGCUCAGACCGGUCGGAAAUCGGUCGCAGAGUAUAAAGGCAAAAGCGCGCUUGACUGCGAGACAGACACGUCGAGCAGGUACGAAAGUAGGUCUUAGUGAUCCGGUGGUUCUGUAUGGAAGGGCCAUCGCUCAACGGAUAAAAGGUACUCCGGGGAUAACAGGCUGAUACCGCCCAAGAGUUCAUAUCGACGGCGGUGUUUGGCACCUCGAUGUCGGCUCAUCACAUCCUGGGGCUGAAGCCGGUCCCAAGGGUAUGGCUGUUCGCCAUUUAAAGUGGUACGCGAGCUGGGUUUAGAACGUCGUGAGACAGUUCGGUCCCUAUCUGCCGUGGACGUUUGAGAUUUGAGAGGGGCUGCUCCUAGUACGAGAGGACCGGAGUGGACGAACCUCUGGUGUUCCGGUUGUCACGCCAGUGGCAUUGCCGGGUAGCUAUGUUCGGAAAAGAUAACCGCUGAAAGCAUCUAAGCGGGAAACUUGCCUCAAGAUGAGAUCUCACUGGGAACUUGAUUCCCCUGAAGGGCCGUCGAAGACUACGACGUUGAUAGGCUGGGUGUGUAAGCGUUGUGAGGCGUUGAGCUAACCAGUACUAAUUGCCCGUGAGGCUUGACCAU